rnacentral:tRNA from 1 species
UUUCAGGUGGCAGAAUAAUGCAAAGGUUUUAAGCGCCUUUUAUGAACCCAGGUUCCUUGAAAA